CACAAACACAGGCACACAGACAUGAUUAACGGUGUGCUUCAGGGGUCUUCGCAGUACCUUGACCCACAGACACAGCCCUUCGCAGAGCCAGCCGUACAUCCAGAGACGGAGACCUCCUUGUGGGGACGUGCCUUGAAGAGAUGGGGACACUCUGGCUGGGACUGCUGGUUCUCCUGGUGCCCAGCCAGCUCCACAGCCUUCCCCUGCUGACUGCAGAGCGGCCUGGCCCACCUGCCCCAUCGCAGGACGAGGUGAUGUUUGCAAAGAGAUACUUAGAGAAGUUCUAUGGCUACGGUCUGUCCCAGUCGGACCGGCAGAGGAGGGGGGCAGUCAGCCCCGCCACGGCUGAUGACUGGCUCUGCGCGGCGGUGAAGCAGUUGCAGCGGUACUUCGGCCGUCCCGACAACGGCCGGCUGACGCCCGACACGUUGGCGCUCAUGCGGAAGCCUCGGUGUGGCUUGUCCGACAUGGAGCCCUUCCACAACACGUGGCGCUGGAAGAGGAGUACGCUGAGCUACAGGUUUUUACCAGGGGUUUUAUUCCCCCAUACAGCAGCGGCAAUCUUGGUUAUGCUAGCUGAAUGCGCUAUUUUGCAUUCAGUCCCCUCCCACCAAGCUAGCUAGAUGGAACCCAAACUGACGACUAGAAUCUCUAGCUACGGCCCGACUGCCAGCGGACGCCUGACAAGUGUGAUCCAAAUUUGUCGUUUGAUGCGGGGACAGAACUCCAGCAGGAGAUUGUGUUUUUCAAAACAGGUAUGCACCGCGACGACAACGCAAAGUUCAACUGUCUCAACCCAUGAUCUACGGGAGCAUGCAACAACAUUUCACUGGAUGUCUGCCAAAAUUCCUUCCUCAAAAUUCAUGUGGCGUUAGUAUCCGACAUCUGAUGAGAUCUGGAUCAGUCUGAUCCGUGGCUUGUGGCCCAAUGCUGUACCAAAUAACAUGGACGCCGCCUAUGAGAAUGUGGAGAUGAACCAACUCUUGUUUUUUAAAGGUAGUCAGUACUGGGCGAUCAGACAGUUAAAUCUGAUGGCAGGGUUCCCGAGCAACAUCUCAGACCUGGGCUUCCCUCCCAGAGUGCAGGCUGUAGACGCUGCCCUUCACUUCCGCUUCGCACACCUCACCGUCUUCUUCACUGGCACUGAGUGCUGGAGUAUCUUGCUUAAGGAGGCCUUGUAGUUCGCCUGCACCCAAUUGGGUAUCGAACCCAGAACCUUUUGCCUGGCGGACAGAGACCCUUUGCCUGGUUCAACCAUUCAACACUGCUCCCCAUGUUGUAGAUAAGGUACGACGAGCAGUAGAAGACAAUGGAGGAGGGGUCCCCAGCGCCAAUAGACCAGCAAUGGCCGGGCGUUCCCUCUCACCUCGAUGCAGCUAUUUUUUAUAAGGCAGCAGAAUUAAGAACAAAAACAUUUCAGUGAGCUGUCUGUGAAGCUGGGAGAACUUGGUGGGAUGGAAUCGGUCACAAGGGGUACAUCACUGAUCAAAGUUUGGGAACCACUGGAUCCGACAAUUCCAUACCAGAAAACACUUCAGUUUUCCAUUGAUAUGUAUACAAAAGACUGCUUCCAUUAAAGCAGUCAGGAAGCAUGUAUGUGCCAUUCAAAAUUGUAAUUAAGUAAUGUUUCUACAUUGUAUGCUAUGUUAUAAAAAAUAAAUAUAUUACUAUAGUA
ensembl:lncRNA